GCGCAGGUCUUGUGCGAUUGGCAAUUGUGAACCAUGUCAGGCGGGGAACCGAGCAGCAUUAAGCAAACCUGCCAAGGCGAUACAAGUAACCUGCGCCGU
rnacentral:SRP_RNA from 1 species